rnacentral:lncRNA from 1 species
AAUCUAUUGGAAAAGGAUGCAUUAAAAAGCUGUCAUUUGAACUGAGUUAUAAAGAAUUAGAUAAUUAUAUGCAAUGAGAAGAAAAGCAUAUAAGUGAUGAGAAGAGAAUAAGACUACAUAUGGAAAAAAUGUAUAAUUAAAUACAAAUUAACAUCAUGUAGAUUGGCAGCAAGACAGAAAAAUCAGUGCCAAUCAAUAGGGACCCUAUGUGCCAUCCUGAAGAGCUUGAUUUGAGGAACGAUGGACCCUCAAGUUACAACCGGACUGACAUGUGAACAACUUGGGCUAAUUAGGUUAAUGGAAGAUUCAUCUGCCUCUUGUUAUCCAUAGUGUGUACCCAGAGCGUAACAGCCGGAGUACAUCCAGACCGCUCACAUCCCAGUCUUGUCACUGCGCGUUCCUGCAACAAUUACCAGGAGAGGGAGGCUGCCGAGUGAAUCAAGUAGCGCGUGUUGUCUCCCCGGACUCCAUGCUGAUGCUCUGAUCAGGACUUCAGCAAAAUUCUGUUUGAAAUGAGAAUAGACUAAUUUUCAUC